rnacentral:rRNA from 1 species
GACAGAGGGUGCAAACGUUGUUCGGAAUUACUGGGCGUAAAGCGUGUGUAGGCGGCUAUUCAAGUCGGGUGUGAAAGCCCCGGGCUCAACCCGGGAAGUGCACUCGAUACUGGGUAGCUUGAGUCUUGGAGAGGUUGGUGGAAUUCUCGGUGUAGAGGUGAAAUUCGUAGAUAUCGAGAGGAACAUCGGUGGCGAAGGCGGCCAACUGGACAAAGACUGACGCUGAGACACGAAAGCGUGGGGAGCAAACAGG